rnacentral:rRNA from 1 species
CGGGAAAAGCUCAAAUUUAAAAUCUGGUAGUCUUUGGCUGCCCGAGUUGUAAUUUAGAGAAGUGUUACCCGUGCUGGACCGUGUACAAGUCUCCUGGAAGGGAGCAUCAUAGAGGGUGAUAAUCCCGUCUUUGACACGGACUCCCAGUGCUUUGUGGUACGCUCUCAA